rnacentral:tRNA from 1 species
GCCAGUGUGGCAUAGUGGUUUGAGUGUUGGACUAUGAUUCUGGAAUCCAGGAUUCAAUUCCCAGCUUGGUCU